AUCUACAGCCACACCACCUGAACGUGCCCAGUCUCCUCUGAUCUCAGAAGCUAAGCAGAGUCAGACCUGGUUAGUUACUUAGAUGGAAGAACAGUUGUGACAUGCAAUACGGUUCUGAUC
rnacentral:rRNA from 1 species